GCCCGGCUGGCUCAGUCAGUGGAGCAUGUGACUCUUGAUCUUGGGGUUGUGAGUUCGAGCCCCACACUGGGUA
rnacentral:tRNA from 1 species